rnacentral:rRNA from 1 species
UGCGUAGGCUGUGCGGUAAGUCAGAGGUGAAAGGUCCGCGCUCGACGCGGGAACUGCCUUUGAUGCUGUCGUGCUGGAGUGCGGAUGCCGUUGGAGGAAUGAGUGGUGUAGCGGUGAAAUGCAUAGAUAUCACUCAGAACACCGAUUGCGAAGGCAUCUGACGAAUCCGUAACUGAGCUGAGGCACGAAGCGUGGGGAUAGAACA